CCUCCGCCGCCAAACUUCUCCGCGCUCGCAGCCCUGCUGGCCUCCGCCUCCGCCCCGGCCCCCGCGCUGGGCUCCGAGGCGAGGGCGCCCUUGGGCCGGCUGCGGCCCAGCCGCUCCCCGCGUUCCCUUCCCGCUUCUCGCGGCCCCCGCUCUGCUCCCGAGUCUCCUCCUCCCCGCGGAGUACUCGGGGCUGUGCGCGGGCGGGGGCGGGGCUGCUCGCGGGGAAUGCCGGCCCCCGCCCCGCACCCCACCCCGGGCGCCGCCACCCGGGCCCAGUCGGUCUGAGCGGCGCGGACCGAGAGGGGGAGGGCUGCGGCGCAGCUGGCGAGGAAGUGGCGGCGAUGCCUGGGGCGGGGAGGAGGACUGCGCGGUCCCCGACCCCGUCACCACGGGCCUGCACUCCGGGCCCGGGCUCGUCUCUCCCAUCUGCUUAACCGUCUCUUGGAGGCGGCAGAUGUGUGAUGGAGACAGAGCGAGGUCCUCACUAAGUUGGCGACGUCAGGGUUAACUAGGAGUGAAUGGGGGCGCCGUUCAGUAAGGACGGGAUCCCCCGCUACCAUCCUUACGUCCUAUUCACUGCGGUCUCAGAUUCUAGGAGGUCCCGGGAGGCCUAGAAAUGGGAGAAGUCAGAUUGGGGGGUCCUGGGCCCCAAAGCCUAAAUCUUGCCUUUCCUACCCCAGAGCUAAGUGACCAUGCCCAGGCUUCAUUUGACCACGUGGACAAAGGAAAGCACCCCCAAAAGAGACCAUCUCCAGAAGCAGAGGCUCUAGCUGUAAACGGUGCCAGCGGCCGGCCUGGCAGGGGCCAGCUCUUCCUAGAGGCUCAGGGGCUCCUCCAGGAGGCAUCUCACAGUCAGUCUGCAGCCUACACCAAGGCCGUGCCCUUCCACUCCUCUUCCUUUUCUCUUCCCACCACCCACUCACUCACUAGUUUGCCCUUCUUCCUUCCUCUCCGAAACUGGCUCCUUUCCAUUAGUGAGAGCUGCAAUUAAUGCAGUCAUCUUCAUAAAGCAAACACAUAACCCCGUGCCCAGGAUCCGACCUGCGACCAUCUCACCAGCAAUGACUGCUCCCCUGAAACACUGAGAAGGGAAUUAACUUGGUUCUAAUUAGGAAUCCCCAGCUGUGUUUGAAGUCUGCAAGUCCAAACAGCAGACGUGGCUGAGGAUGGCAGAAUCCAGCCACCCUCCAUCUCCAUCUCCAGCGCUCUUCCAUUAUUGCCCGCUGUCUGCCACAUCAAACAGAACAAGACUGCUACAUGGAUUUCUUUCCCUUUUGUCUCUUCCUUUCACUCCAGGGCCCCCAGUUUUCUGAGUAACUUAAAUCAUUACUAAAAGAUGUCUAGGUUCACAGACCAAACCCUUUCAAAGCAAGGCAUGGGCUCCCAAAAGUUGAGCUCAGAAAAGCACAGAAAAAAACUUUCCCAGUCCCGGGAUUUAGCCAAUCACGCAUUCAGGGAAAUAAUCCGCUACUUUGCGAGGUCUUACCUUCCUUCCCUGCCACCUCCUUGGGGCCUGGCUGGCCCAGGAUCCCAUUUCUGAAUUCUCUUUGGGCCCCAAGACUUCAGCAUGACCUUCACUGUGCUAUAGGCAGGUCCCGUCUCCUCAGUAAACCAUCUGUUCUGUCUUACCCAUCAGGCCAGUCACAGUGGCUCACACCUAUAAUCCCAGCACUUUGGGAGGCUGAGGCAGGAGGAUCUCUUGAGGCUGGGAGUUCAAAACCAGCCUGAGCAAUAUAGCAAGACCCCGCCUCUACAAAAAAAUAAAAAACCUAGCCAGGUAUGGUAGCAUGGGACCUAUAGUCUAGCUGCUUGGGACUAGCUGAGGUCGGAGGAUCCCUUGAGCCCAGGAAUUCUAGUUUGCAGUGAGCCGGAAUGUCAUAGCUAGAAGACCAAAAUAAACAAAUAAAUAAAUAUAA